CUAAGAAUAUUCCGCAAUGGACGAAAGUCUGACGGAGCGACGCCGCGUGAACGAAGAAGGCCGGAAGGUUGUAAAGUUCUUUUGAAACUGAAGAAUAAGUAUUGCAGGGAAUGGCGAUAUGGUGACGGUAGGUUUUGAAUAAGCAACGGCUAAUUACGUGCCAGCAGCCGCGGUAACACGUAAGUUGCGAGCGUUGUUCGGAAUUAUUGGGCGUAAAGGGCAUGUAGGCGGUAUUGCAAGCCUGGUGUGAAAGGCGGGGGCUCAACCCCUGGACUGCGCUGGGAACUGCAUUACUAGAGUCGCUGAGGGCAAUCAGAAUUCCAGGUGUAGGGGUGAAAUCUGUAGAUAUCUGGAAGAAUACCAAUGGCGAAGGCAGGUUGCCAGUAGAUGACUGACGCUGAGGUGCGAAGGUG
rnacentral:rRNA from 1 species